rnacentral:rRNA from 1 species
UUGCCCCUACGGGGCGCAGCAGUGGGGAAUAUUGGGCAAUGGGCGCAAGCCUGACCCAGCAACGCCGCGUGAAGGAAGAAGGCUUUCGGGUUGUAAACUUCUUUUCUCAGGGACGAAGCAAGUGACGGUACCUGAGGAAUAAGCCACGACUAACUACGUGCCAGCAGCCGCGGUAAUACGUAGGUGGCAAGCGUUAUCCGGAUUUACUGGGUGUAAAGGGCGUGUAGGCGGGAAAGCAAGUCAGAUGUGAAAACCACGGGCUCAACCUGUGGCCUGCAUUUGAAACUGUUUUCUUGGGUAUUGGG